CCCAGACUCCUACGGGAGGCAGCAGUGGGGGAUAUUGCACAAUGGGGGAAACCCUGAUGCAGCGACGCCGCGUGAGUGAAGAAGUAUUUCGGUACGUAAAGCUCUAUCAGCAGGGAAGAAAAAAAGUCCUUUGGACUUUGGACGGUACCUGACCAAGAAGCUCCGGCUAAAUACGUGCCAGCAGCCGCGGUAAUACGUAUGGAGCAAGCGUUAUCCGGAUUUACUGGGUGUAAAGGGAGCGCAGACGGCAGGGCAAGUCCGAUGUGAAAGUCCGGGGCUCAACCCCGGGACUGCAUUGGAAACUGUCCGGCUAGAGUGCAGGAGAGGUAAGUGGAAUUCCUAGUGUAGCGGUGAAAUGCGUAGAUAUUAGGAGGAACACCAGUGGCGAAGGCGGCUUACUGGACUGUAACUGACGUUGAGGCUCGAAAGCGUGGGGAGCAAACAGGAUUAGAUACCCCUGUA
rnacentral:rRNA from 1 species